CUAAUAUCAUCACAGGAGUUUUCAUUUUCUUCUUUGCAAUUGUAGAGUUACUUCGCGGAAGACUCAUCAUCUUCAGUUGAAAUACUGUACUCGAAGAAGACUUCCCACAAGAUCAUGAACAAACAUCGAAAAAAGAAUGGCAGCACUCAGACCGUGCGUUUCAAGGUCCUCGCCAGCACAGGGGCACAGUAGGAAGAGGCAGGAUCCAGUGACUAUUUCAACAUCUCUGAGGCAGUGAAUCGAAUUACAUUUGUUGAUGAAGACAUAAACGGAUAAGACCCUCUCCCUGUCCCCAAAAUGAACAGUGCACCCAAGGCAAGAUUGAAGCCGGGUUCCAGAUGCACUUCUGCCAUUCAUUGGAUGUACAAACUUCUGCAAAAUACUGAUUUUAUUCUUUGUCUGCAAAAGGCACGAAGUGGAGUCUACUCCAGAGAUGGAUCACUCAAGAUCACAAUGCCAUAUUUCUUCUCCUUGGAGAGGCCUAUUUAGUGAAAAGGAUCAGGCAUUUUGAGGAAGAAAUUCUAAAACAAAUCAAGAAGAACUUGCCAGGUCCAGUUGGAAAGUCAAGUGGUACUGUUAACUAACUGCUUUGUGAGUCAGUACCCUGGUGAGUCCUGCAGUAUGUCUAGUGCCAGGUCUACCUGUUUCCAGCUUUCUCUUCUGCAUCACUGUUCCUUAUUAUUUGUGAUUCAGCACACUAGAGGCAUGCUGGAAGCCCUUUGAGAUAGGCAGGGCAGAUAAUAUUAAUUAUUUAAAGAAAAGUCAUACUCAGACAGGUUAAGGGACUAUACAGAUGGGAGAUACUGACUUGAAACCAGUUCUGCUUUCAUACCAUUCAUUGCAUUAUGUAGAGGAUAGGACUGAAGAUCAAAAAUAUGCAGCAGUCCUCCAUCCCCUUAUCUACAGUUUUGUUUUGCAGUUUCAGUUACCCAUACUUAACCAUGGCCCA
rnacentral:lncRNA from 1 species